rnacentral:tRNA from 1 species
GCCUAGUUAGCUUAGUUGGUAGUGCGUCUGCCUUGUAAGCGCCUAGGCCGCGGGUUCGAUUCCCGCCCGGGGCG